GUUGGAAGAACAGUUUUCUUAGGGGACAACCAGAAAGUCUUCAAAAUUACCAAUUUGCAGAUUUUGUCAGGUGACAGGCAAUUUAUGUUGGAUUCAUAAUGAGUGCUGUAAUAACGUUAAAACAUACACAUAAAAUUGAUAUAGAUGUAUCAAAGCUGUGCUACUUUGAUCUGGAGUUACAGUUAGUCCUGGCAUGGGAGGAGGCGUGUGUGAAAAUACUCUCAUGUUAGGGUUAAGACCUUCCAUUUGUAUUUCUCAGGCGCCAUCUGCUGGUAGAAAAACCACUUUACACUACCUGUACAGCCAUUUGAAAAUUACAGUGACGUUACACAUUACUGUAUUUAGUGAGGUAACUGAAUACAAGACAGAUGUAUGUUUCACAUAUUUACGGCUUAUGCUCUUUGCAAUUCUACAGCAUUGUGCAGAAAAAUAAAUAAAUAAAAUCACAGUCACUUACUUAGAGCAAACAUAAGAGUCACAGUGGUUCUCCCUAAAUUUGGUUGCACCCGUCGACCAGCCUCAGCCACAAUGAGGCAGUGAUUGACAACAUGGUCCAUGAGCAUAGCCCUAAUUUCAUCAGGGAUUCGCCUAUGUACCUCACCUCUUCUUCCUCUGCCCCUGUUUUGUCCCCUUCCCCUUCCUCCCUGCAUUCUCACCCCUCCUCCAUGAUGCUGACCUUCCAUUUUUGUGUCACAGAACUGUAGAAAUGGUACACACUAUGUCCUGCUGGUUUAUAUAUGCUUGCCAAGUGAAGGUUCAUGGGUGGCGUGUCAUUGGUCACAACUAAUGCUUCACACACCUCCUCAUGAGUUAAAGCUUAGGUUCACCUGAGAGCAAUUGUUCAAUUUAGGAGACAUUUUCAGGAAAGAAAAAAAAAGAUAAAUAAAUGUAUGAAAUCGGCUUGACAGAUUUUGAGAACUAGUUCAACAAUUUUGUAUGUAAUGACUCAAGCAAUAAAAUGAGGACUAUUAGUUUUAUAGAGAAUGACUAAUCAGCAUUCGUAAGUAUGUUUCAUUUUGACUGACAUGACAUAAGCAAAUGAUAAUGUUAUAAAACAGCAGAGACUUGUAUGAAAGUAACUGUUACAUUGAUUGCAUUUUGUAUGUGCAGUGAGUAGAUGAGUAAAAAAAUGAGCUAACAGCCUCCCUACUCCGUUGUUCUUAAUAUUUUCUGUUUUAUCAGAAUAAAAUAAGGAUCGAAAUAAAGCUGAACGUGUAAUCUUUCAUUCAACCCCAAGAUGAACUUUCACUUCCCCAAAUGAACAUGCUUGUAUCAGCAGACCAAAACCCCAAAUCUUCACUGCA